GCCGGACCGGAUAUCUGUACACGGCGCCCCGAAAAGGCCCUUUUCCGUCUCAGAGAAGUGUGGUACAGAACGGCAGACACAAUGACCGAUUGGGAGACUGCCCCCGCUGUGGCUGAGACCCCAGAGAUCAAGCUCUUCGGCAAGUGGAGCACCGAUGAUGUCCAGA